GUAACCGCAAGGGGCCAGCCGCCGAAGGUGGGGUAGAUGAUUGGGGUGAAGUCGUAACAAGGUAGCCGUAUCGGAAGGUGCGGCUGGAUCACCUCCUUUCUAUGGAGA
rnacentral:rRNA from 1 species